rnacentral:rRNA from 1 species
CAAUAGCGUAUAUUUAAGUUGUUGCAGUUAAAAAGCUCGUAGCUGGAUUUCGGGUAGGAUUUGCCGGUCCGUCUUUGAGAUGUGUACUGGUAAGUCCUAUCUUCUUGUCGGGGACCAGCUCCUGGGCUUCACUGUCCGGGACUGGGAGCCGACGAAGUUACUUUGAGUAAAUUAGAGUGUUCAAAGCAAGCCUACGCUCUGAAUAUAUUAGCGUGGAAUAACACGAUAGGACUCUGGCUUAUCUUGUUGGUCUGUGAGACCAGAGUAAUGAUUAAGAGGGACAGUCGGGGACAUUCGUAUUUCAUUGUCAGAGGUGAAAUUCUUGGAUUUAUGAAAGACGAACUUCUGCGAAAGCAUUUGUCAAGGAUGUUUUCAUUAA